GGGGCUGUGGCUCAGUGGUAGAGCGUUUGCCUAGAAUGUGUGAGGCACCAGGUUCGAUCCCUGGCACCG
rnacentral:tRNA from 1 species